rnacentral:rRNA from 1 species
UGCCAGCAGCCGCGGUAAUACGGAGGGGGUUAGCGUUGUUCGGAAUUACUGGGCGUAAAGCGUGUCUAGGUGGAUAGGAAAGUCGGGUGUGAAAGACCUGGGCUCAACCCAGGAAAUGCGCCCGAAACUUCUUAUCUUGAGUCAUGGAGGGGCGAGCAGAAUUCCUAGUGUAGCAGUGAAAUGCGUAGAUAUUAGGAAGAAUACCUGAGGCGAAGGCGGCUCGCUGGCCAUGUACUGACACUGAAGCACGAAAGCGUGGGGAGCAAACAGGAUUAGAUA